UGUUAAAUAUGAAGUAUAUUUCAUGUGAAGUUUCUACAGUUUCUAUUGGACAAAGGCGGUCCCGCCCCCGCAAACCAACCCCCAGGUGAUCGGCGACAGCGUCCAUCGCCGGCUCUUCGUCGUGCGCGCGGCCUCGGUCUUUCCAGCAUUCUCUUCUAUUUUCUCCGUUCUUUUUCUACAAAAUUACAUGCUAGUCCCAUACAGUUCGAAGUUCUGUACUCCUGAAAUCCUUGUAUCAGUUUAAGAAGUAAAAAUGCUGGGCAUUUCUUACGGAGAGCUCUUCCUAUUGAUUGGAGCGACCGCUGCUCUUGUUGGGCCAAAGGAUCUUCCAAUCAUUGCCAGAACUGCUGGGAGAUUGGCGGGUCGUGCAAUUGGAUAUGUACAAUUAGCUCGUGGGCAGUUUGAAAAUGUCAUGCACCAGUCCCAAGCUCGCCAGGUUCACAAAGAACUCCAAGAAACAAUGUCGCAACUUGAGGCUAUUCGCCAUGAAAUUCGAAGCAUAUCUUUUAUCAAUCCUAGUCCUUUGACUCGGAAUUUGAUGGACAAUGCACUUGAUCCCAGUCAUCAUGUUAAUGCUGGCGAGAAUUUGGUUGAGAAGUGCGUGGAAGAGCAGAAGCUAGUAGUGAAGGAUAGUAGUUUCAAAACCUCAUCCUCUGUUGAUUUGCAUUCUCAAGCAACUUCCUUUGCAAAAUUAGCUGAAUCUGAAGCUGUUAAGAGCGUUUCUUUUAAGGGAAACUUAGAGAAAGUGAAGCUUGAUGAUGAGGUUGGUCUUUUUGCAAUUUUGCCUGUUUCAGCUGAGUCUGCAGGAUUGCUUCCAAAUCGCAAGGAGAAUGCAACAGGAUCAGACAUUGUGUUGGAAGCAGAACUUGAAGCAGAAGUUGCUCGUAAUGCCAAAGACUUCUUUUCCCAGCCCCAAAAUCAAAUACCUUAAAUUGAAAAGUCGGUGAGUGUUGAAUGUUGAUGGCAUGUGGCAGAGGGCGACGAUCCAAUUUGGCUGCAGAGUAGAGAAAGAAGAAGGGAAAAAGAAAGAGCUAAGAGAGGGUUUGACAGAUAUCAAGAAGGUGGUGCUGAUAUUGAAUUCUGCAUCACAUGAUUCAGAUACUCAGCCAUGUGUUUUCACAUGCAGUGAGGGGCUGCAAAAGAGUCUUUAAAGCCUGACCAUUUGACCGUCAAACUCAAAUACAGACUACAUAUAAUAAAUAUAUGUUUUACACACAUUUGAGACCAACUUGCAUUUAUACAUAUUAUCCAAAUAGGCUUAUAAUAGCAUAUACCCUUUUCAUUGAAGUAACUUACAACUUUUUUCUUCAAUAAACCAUAGUAACUGAGUCAUUUGAUACAAUUAUUUGGAUAGAAAAGAACAAGUUUAUUAUGUCAUGUCAUGUGUCAUAAAAGAGUCUUUCAGUCUACUGAGUGUACCAUAGUCAGUUUAGGUUCAGAAUGUAAUCAAAACAGAAAUGAAAUGGCCCUGAGCUCGAGGUACCUUAUUAUAUAUAAAGAUACAUAAAAGAGAGAGAGAGAGAGAGAGAGAGAGAGAGCUGGCUGUGAGCAGCAAAGCAAUGGCUUAUAUAUGGACUGUAGUGAGUUUUAUUUAACUUUAAUAGUGAAGUGACCAACCAGAAGAACUUGGAAUUUGGACUGAAAAUGAUUGGUGACUGUCGCUCAGAUUCUCACUAUGUACAAUUAUUAUUUGAUGAUGAAGGAUUUUGGCAAUUUGA